rfam:Salmo salar isolate Sally breed double haploid chromosome ssa19, whole genome shotgun sequence.
UGCAUUCACUACUGUAAGUCGCUCUGGAUAAAAGUGUCUGCUAAAUGACUAAAA